GUCGCACCUACCGAUUGAAUGGUCCGGUGAAGACUCGGGAUUGUGGUCUGGCUCCUUCAUUGGGGCCAGACCGUGAGAACUUGUCUGAACCUUAUCAUUUAGAGGAAGGUG
rnacentral:rRNA from 1 species